CUCUAUCUAGCUCUAUAUAUUGGAUAUCCUGAGAAAUAGGGGAGGGAUGAUGAAGGAUUCAUCUGAGGGUUCUGAGAAGAAGAAGGAGAAGAAGCAGGAUUGUCAGAAGCAGAGAAAAUCGUCCUAUCUAAAGAGAACACAGGGCUUGAAGAAGAAGCCAGAAGCUCACAAUCCUCCGUGAGGCUUCAUUAUUAUUAUCCUGAUUCUCUUACCAAAUACUGGGCAUUGGCCCUUCCGCGAUUGAGUUUCAGGUAAAAUGAUCAUGAAGACCUCAUAGAAGGUUCUGAGAAGAAGAAGAAGAAGGAGAAGAAACAGGGUUGUCAGAAGCAGAGAAAAGCGUCUACCUCUGCUUUACUGCGAGAAGGAAGGCUUCUAAAUGAUCAGUUUGAGCAGUUGAAACAUCUAUUGAUAUUGGCGACAUUUCGGGUGCAGGUGGCUCAAUGAAGAAAACAUAGAAAGGUGAUUUUUGCAAUAACCUGCUUUGUAUUUUGUUAUCAAUCAAAUAUUUAUUUGAGUCCUAUUAUCUUUAAUCCUAAUUCUAUUAAUCAGGCUUAGUCAAAUUUGGAUGCUCUAUAUAGAGCCUUUAGUGCAAAACUGAUAAUUUUUUUAAAAAAAUAUUCCUACAUCAACAAGAGUAAUUUUUAUUGAAAAGAAAUCAGAAGAGGUUGCAGAUUUUGAGUACAGUUAGUUUUAAAACAAAUAAUUGUAGAUUUUGAGUAAUCAAGCAACCUGCUCUCUGGUUUUUAAUUCUAAACAUAACUACUCAGGAUUUUCUGUAGCACACCCAUACUUUUCAAAAUAUCAGUCCAUAAAUGAAGGAUUCCAUAAAUGAGGCAUUUGAACAUAAAACUUCAGUCACAGACAUGUGAUGUUUUCUAUCAUACCAACUUAUUUCCGAUGCAAUGCAAUGGACCAGCUUGCAAAGUUUGUGAAGCAGGCUGAGUCUGCUGGCUGGAGAAUUUGCUGGCCCUUGUAUCAUUGUAAGAUGGUCAUGUAUGGCUGGAGGAGAUAGAAAAUGUGCUUGAUGAGAUGGGGAGUUUCAAUAUUGAUCCCUCAAAGAAGACAUUCGUCAUCAUGUAUAAGGCCUACUUAAAGUAUGGCCAAAGACAUAAGUUAGAUCGAUUGCUAGGGAUAAUGUGCAAACAUGGGUUUGGAAUUCCAUUGGAUACCUCUCCUUCCUAGGUUACAUUUUCACAUUGAAAACAUGCUUUUCCACAAUUCAAAAAUUCAUUCAUCAAAUUGUUGCAAAUGGUUCAUGACAUCUGAGAGGACAAUUUCAGCUCCUAGAAGAAUGUAAGCUGCUUCUUUUCAUUUUAUCUGGCAUACUUUGUCAGUAGUUGCUCUUGCUGUAUCUUCUAAGAUUGAAAAAUAAGUGUGUGAUCCUUUUUUUUUUUUUUUUGGGGGUGGGGGGGAGGGGGAAUUUGGAGUGGGAGUGGGGGCAGGUUUCUCCUGAUGAUGACAUGGCAUUAUUAUGGACUCAAUAACUCUCCUCCCUUGGCAAAAGUCAUCUUUUAAAUUAAGUGAUGUUACAUCUUUUUUUUUUUUCUCCUGGCUAGUUCAUAUCAUUGUUCAUUGUGUUCCCCCUUUGGAAAUGUGGUUAAUUGAUCAUUGCUUCUAUAAUAUCAAAACUAGUUCUUGCCACCCAAAA